UGCUCCAGCUCCCGCCAUCACAUCCACAGUCCGGUCAGUGAGAAGGGUACAGGGAAGGUGGAGCAUCUGCCUCGGCCUUUAGGGAACUACCCAGAAGUGGCAUUCGUCCCUUCCACUCAUAUUGCAUCGGCUAAAACUCCAUCACAAGGCCACAGCUCGCCUCACAGGAAGCUGGGAAGUGUAGUUUUGAGCCAAGAAGCCAGAUGCCUUGCUGAGCUUUGAGCUUCAUUAUAAAGGAAGAAGGAAUGGGUGUGUGUCUAGGAGCUGUAACCAUGCCCUGUUAUGUUGUUGUUUCUGCGUUUCCCCUGCAUGCAAAGCCAGGACUUACUUCCCAGAGUUCAUGCCUGAAGACUCUCAGAUCUCCAAAGGCAGCGCAGGAAGGUAGUGCAGGAAUGUGGAAAGGCUUGCAGCGUUUGGACGGAGACAGGACCCUGCGCUGGAGUGGGCGAGGAGGUGGGAAACACCCUCCCGUCAUGCUCUUCUCGCUCAGCUUUGGGAGGCUGAGCUUUGACACCUCCUUCCCUCCCUCUCACCCCAGCCUCUGCGGCCCCCAAUUCAGCUGACUCCCAUCCAGUCUUCUUCUUUCUUCUCCCACCUCAGGUGCACCUUCCUGGGCCACACCCCCAGCCCCCUCACACUGUGGGAAAAUCCAGGUAUCCAAAAUGGCAAGCCAGAUUUUCCUGCGGUGGCGUGGCAGCUGCCCCUUGGAAAAGAGGCAGCCCCCUUCAGCUACUGAGAGAAAGCUGUACUCCCCAGCAGCUGGUCCCAGCAGGCCCCUCACAGAUGCAGGUCCUCCUCCUCACAGUGGCACAGCUCCUUCCAUUCCCUCAGCCCCGGGAGCAGGAGAGACGGAGAGGAGGGGGCAGUGGGCUGGGCCCCAGGAUCUUCCCUAAGACAUCAAGCCUGACUGGAACACUCAUUUCUCUUUGACCUUCUCUUCUGGCCUGGCCCAACCUACAGACCAUGUCACCUCCACACAUUUUCCUUUCAUAGCUACCCCUCUCCCACCUCUCCAGUCUCUCACCACCCUCUCAGAAAGCUCUCCCUGGCCCUGGCAGGCAUCUGCCUGCUCUAGCAAACCCCACCCCCGCAACUUUCUGGCUGGGGCCAGCCAGGGCCAGUAACCCCCUCCCUGAGCCACGCCUUCUUAAUAUAACCCUCUGAAAGAGGAAAGCUAGCUAACAACCCUGUUCUGCUUUGAUGAGCUGACCCCGCUUUUUCCAGUCACAAGGGCAGGCUGAGGCCAAAUUUUCCAUCCAUGGAGAAAGUCCAGGGUUGGGGGAUGGGGGGUGGCCCCAUAGGCCAAUCCGCCUCCCACUUGCUUGGUUUGAAUUAGUGGGUGCCUUAAAAAGGAGCAAAUGCAGCCUGGUUCUCAGAGCUGGGCCAGGCGCAGCUCAGGGAGCCAGGCAGAAAGCCGAGAGGAGAACACAUUUCAUUUUAAUGGGAAACAGAUUUGAGAGGGGAAAAAAUGAGAAUGAGAGAGGAAUGAAACCCCGGCACUCCCAGGAGAGCAGCUGGAGGUCUGCCUGGUGUGACCUCCCAUGACGAUCCUGCUCACCACCCUCCCGGCCCCACCUCCUGCAUGCCACAGUGUUGCACGUCCAUGUGCACAGCCCUCUCACUGCCCUGUCCCUCAUCGGACCCCCACAGUAGCCCUGAGCGGUAGGCUGAGCAGAGUCACUAGCCCAGCGGAUCAACCAGAUCCUGUUGUUCAAGGGCAGCGGCACGAGAGAGGAGGGGCACCAGAGGCCUGAGAAUUAGAAACUCAGUGACGGGAUCAGUCCCACAUGGAGCUUUCAUGAUGCCUGCAGGUGAGGGCCUUGUGGGUGCCAGGCACUGUAUGGGGUGCAAGGGUUUCAGACAUGAGUCUGAACAUGGCCUCAGAGUCCUCAAAACAGGUGCGUAAAGUGAUCCUAUCAGUAUAAAAUAGUAAGACAGAAUUAUGUACAGAGGAGGAGUGCUUGGCCUGGGGAGUGGGGGUGGGAAUUCCAUGAGUGUUUCCAGGAGAAAAAAAGAAGCAAAUGGAGCACAGUCUUGGCAGAUGAGUAAGAGUUGGCGGGGUGGUGACAGCACGGAGGCAUGGAAAAGCAAAGCAGGAGACUGUCCUGGAAAUUCAGGCAGAGGCCGGUGGGGCAGAGGAGGGCCUUGUGUGUCUGCCAAGGGUUGGCUCACCAUCCUGCAGGCCAAGGCAGCUUUCGGGUGAAGAGUGCUUCGGUCACCUUUAACAUGGGUGUUUUGGGCUGCACGGUGGGCUGGAAGGCUGGAGAGAGGUCAGAAAGGAAGCUGCUGCAAACAUCCAGAAGGUGAUGAUGGUCUGAGCAAUGGUACCAUUGGGAGGGCAGAGGAGGAGAGAGCAGGAUUGAGAAAAAUUGGAAAGGGAAUCAAUAGGACCGAGUUAGUAGGUGACUCUAGAGGGCAACCGUAAGGAGGAGGAAAGAGGGGCAUGAAGGAAUCCAGCAGACUGACAUUGUGUUCUCUGUUGGAGAGAUCUGGAAGUCAGAGAGGAUGAAGCUGUUCAGGAGACAGGAGAAGAGUAAAAUCUUUUUUUUUUUAACCUUCCAAUGGCCAGAUAGAGCUGUUGGGCAACCCCUCAGCUGAGAUGCUCCCCUGAUUGGAGACUCCCUAGCUCCAGCUGCUUGCAAGCUC
rnacentral:lncRNA from 1 species